rnacentral:pre_miRNA from 1 species
GUCUCCUGUGCCUGCUGUGCUGAUAAUCAGUGGACGGCUGUGACUGGCUCAGUUCAGCAGGAACAGGGGC